GAUGAAGAACGCAGCGAAAUGCGAUAAGUAAUGUGAAUUGCAGAAUUCAGUGAAUCAUCGAAUCUUUGAACGCACAUUGCGCCCGCCAGCAUUCUGGCGGGCAUGCCUGUUCGAGCGUCAUUUCAACCCCUCGGGCCCUGGUGCCCGGCGUCGGGGCGCUUCCCACCCCCGGGAACCCCCCAGAAGCAGUGGCGGACCCGCCGCGGCUCCGAGCGCAGUAGUUAAUAUUUCUCGCUCAGGAGGCCCGCGGGGGGGACUUCGGCCGUUAAACCGGACCCUCGCGUCCACGUACACACAAAGGUUGACCUCGGAUCAGGUAGGAAUACCCGCUGAACUUAAGCAUAUCAAUAAGCGGAGGA
rnacentral:misc_RNA from 1 species